rnacentral:misc_RNA from 1 species
AAGACUAUAGACCUGCGGAGUACCUGCGGAAGGAUCAUUAUCGAGUUACAAAACUCCCAAACCCAUGUGAAUCUUACCAUCGUUGCUUCGGCGGUCCGCCCCGGGCGCGCCCCAGCGCGUGACCCGGGCCAAGGCGGCCGCCGGGGGACCCAAACUCUUGUCUUUACAGUGGAAUUCUGAGUGGCAUAAGCAAAUAAUCAAAACUUUUAGCAAUGGAUCUCUAGAUCGGAAGAGCACACG